rnacentral:rRNA from 1 species
GGCCUAACACAUGCAAGUCGAGCGGUAGGAGAGAAGCUUGCUUCUCUUGAGAGCGGCGGACGGGUGAGUAAUGCCUAGGAAUCUGCCUGGUAGUGGGGGAUAACGUUCGGAAACGGACGCUAAUACCGCAUACGUCCUACGGGAGAAAGCAGGGGACCUUCGGGCCUUGCGCUAUCAGAUGAGCCUAGGUCGGAUUAGCUAGUUGGUGAGGUAAUGGCUCACCAAGGCGACGAUCCGUAACUGGUCUGAGAGGAUGAUCAGUCACACUGGAACUGAGUCACGGUCCAGACUCCUACGGGAGGCAGCAGUGGGGAAUAUUGGACAAUGGGCGAAAGCCUGAUCCAGCCAUGCCGCGUGUGUGAAGAAGGUCUUCGGAUUGUAAAGCACUUUAAGUUGGGAGGAAGGAUUGUAGAUUAAUACUCUGCAAUUUUGACGUUACCGACAGAAUAAGCACCGGCUAACUCUGUGCCAGCAGCCGCGGUAAUACAGAGGGUGCAAGCGUUAAUCGGAAUUACUGGGCGUAAAGCGCGCGUAGGUGGUUUGUUAAGUUGGAUGUGAAAUCCCCGGGCUCAACCUGGGAACUGCAUUCAAAACUGACUGACUAGAGUAUGGUAGAGGGUGGUGGAAUUUCCUGUGUAGCGGUGAAAUGCGUAGAUAUAGGAAGGAACACCAGUGGCGAAGGCGACCACCUGGACUAAUACUGACACUGAGGUGCGAAAGCGUGGGGAGCAAACAGGAUUAGAUACCCUGGUAGUCCACGCCGUAAACGAUGUCAACUAGCCGUUGGAAGCCUUGAGCUUCUAGUGGCGCAGCUAACGCAUUAAGUUGACCGCCUGGGGAGUACGGCCGCAAGGUUAAAACUCAAAUGAAUUGACGG